CUACUGGAUACUGUGCGGCCAUGUGCAUGGCCCCCUUCUGGGCGAAAUAUGGUAUGUCCUACUUCUCUGAAGUUGGUACUGGCCUUGGGCAUCACCCCCUUUUGGGGCGGGCCUUUGCACUCUUACCGACUGCAGUUUGCUUUUUUUUCGG